rnacentral:rRNA from 1 species
UACGUAGGGUGCGAGCGUUGUCCGGAAUUACUGGGCGUAAAGAGCUCGUAGGUGGUUUGUCGCGUUGUCCGUGAAAACUCACAGCUCAACUGUGGGCGUGCGGGCGAUACGGGCAGACUGGAGUACUGCAGGGGAGACUGGAAUUCCUGGUGUAGGCGGUGGAAUGCGCAGAUAUCAGGAGGAACACCGGUGGCGAAGGCGGGUCUCUGGGCAGUAACUGACGCUGGAGGAGCGAAAGCGUGGGGAGCGAACAGG